UACGUAGGGGCCGAGCGUUGUCCGGAGUUAUUGGGCGUAAAGCGCGCGCAGGCGGCUUCGCGCGUCCGACGUGAAAGCCCCCCGGCUUAACCGGGGAGGGUCGUUGGGUACGGCGGAGCUUGAGGGCGGGAGAGGGUGGUGGAAUUCCCGGUGUAGUGGUGAAAUGCGUAGAGAUCGGGAGGAACACCUGUGGCGAAGGCGGCCACCUGGGCCGACCCUGACGCUGAGGCGGCGAAGGC
rnacentral:rRNA from 1 species